CAGACUCCUACGGGAGGCAGCAGUAGGGAAUCUUUCACAAUGGGCGAAAGCCUGACCCAGCAACGCCGCGUGAAGGAAGAAGGCUUUCGGGUUGUAAACUUCUUUUAAGAGGGACGAAACAAAUGACGGUACCUCUUGAAUAAGCCACGGCUAACUACGUGCCAGCAGCCGCGGUAAUACGUAGGUGGCAAGCGUUAUCCGGAUUUAUUGGGUGUAAAGGGAGCGUAGACGGCGACGCAAGUCUGGAGUGAAAGCCCGGGGCCCAACCCCGGGACUGCUCUGGAAACUGCGUCGCUGGAGUACGGGAGGGGCAGGCGGAAUUCCUGGUGUAGCGGUGAAAUGCGUAGAUAUCAGGAGGAACACCGGCGGCGAAGGCGGCCUGCUGGACCGUGACUGACGUUGAGGCUCGAGAGCGUGGGGAGCAAACAGGAUUAGAUACCCUCGUA
rnacentral:rRNA from 1 species